UUCACCCUUAUAAUGCACUGAUUCAGGGCUUUGUACUGACUGCCAUCAACAGUGGAGAGGGGUGUUCAUUGAAGCUUAACCACUCCCUACCAUGAAGACUGCAGAGUGUGUGUAGGACUGCAGUGUAACAACUUUUACUUUUCAUGACACAGAAGGAAGGAACACAGUUCUAUUCAGUAUCUAUUAGUCCUUGCUCCUGGAAACAUUCUGGGCUCUUAGGGCAAGGAUCUGCUUGCAUUGAUGAGAGAGGCUUGAGCUAGUCCAGUUGAAGGUUAGCAGGCACAUUUGUUCUAGAAAUGUAUGAAUUACAAAAGGGAAAAUGGAAAUGAACAGCCUUCAAGUUGAUCCUGACUUAUGACGACCCUAUGAACAGGAUUGUCACGGUGGCAUCCUGGAGCAGUUUCCUGUUUGGAGCACCCAGCUCAUCCCAUUCCCUUCAUUCUGUGGCAAAGAAUCAGGCUCUCAAGCUCAGUAGUGCAUCCUCGCUUACAUCCUCAGUGCCUGGAGAGUGGCAAUGACUGGUGAAGCAACCAAGGGAACCGGAGGAUCAAGAGGAGAGGGGAAAGAGAUGGGUCCUUCUCAAACGUGUGCUGGUGCCAGGGAGUGCAGCAACACAGCAGCAGCCUGACCAAGGGAACGAGAAGGAAGACAGAGAAGAGCUGAGGUUCAUUCAUGCUGAUAAGACUCACACAGUAUUCCCUCCCAGCAAACAGUAGUAAAAAGUGUUUUUGAGCAAACUACCAGAGUCUAAAGGUAGGAAGCUGUGAUAAUGACCUAUGUGCCUUAACUCUUACAUGAUUUCACUCAGUCAUGGUGCAGGUUUUUGUGAGCCC